GGCGGGCCUAAAUUUGCAUGGGUCCACAGUCGGUGAUCAGGACCGUUCAUCAACGGCCUGCUGCGACGGUCUUGUCGGAGGAUUUUUGUCUUAGCUAUUUUAGGUUCUUGGGACAUAAAAAACCGACGGCAUCCUGAGGUGGCCCACAGAAUGAUCAGGCCAGGAUAGCUUUUACAAAUCAUCACCUUCUGCCUAGUAGCAGUUUACCUGCUGGUAGUGUCUGCACCUAAAAAAAGGGGUGGCUCUAUGCCCAGUGGGCUGAGGAUUAUUGAACUUAGUUUCCAAUUACUGUGCGGCCCAUCUCAAAUAGCUGGGGCAAAGGUUCUGAUGAUGGUGAAAUUUGUAGUGGGCCACCUUUUGCAUUGCAAGUUGUACCAUACAAUACAAUUGCUUGGUUGAUACAUAUUCUGAGGGUAAAGGUGAGUGUACGGCUACCAAACCUAUUGACUGAUAUUGGAGUGAUUUGGUUCUUUGCUUGAU